rnacentral:rRNA from 1 species
GUGAGGAAUAUUGGACAAUGGGCGCAAGCCUGAUCCAGCCAUGCCGCGUGCAGGAAGACGCAUCUAUGGUGUGUAAACUGCUUUUGUACGGGAAGAAACACUCCCUCGUGAGGGAGCUUGACGGUACCGUAAGAAUAAGGAUCGGCUAACUCCGUGCCAGCAGCCGCGGUAAUACGGAGGAUCCAAGCGUUAUCCGGAAUCAUUGGGUUUAAAGGGUCCGUAGGCGGUUUAAUAAGUCAGUGGUGAAAGCCCAUCGCUCAACGAUGGAACGGCCAUUGAUACUGUUAGACUUGAAUUACAAGGAAGUAACUAGAAUAUGUAGUGUAGCGGUGAAAUGCUUAGAUAUUACAUGGAAUACCAAUUGCGAAGGCAGGUUACUACUUGUGGAUUGACGCUGAUGGACGAAAGCGUGGGGAGCGAACAGGAUUAGAAACCCUGGUAGUC